CCCUUAGAUGUUCUGGGCCGCACGCGUGCUACACUGGUGAAUACAGCGAGUGUCCAUUCCCUUGACCGAAAGGUCUGGGUAAUCUUAUGAAAGUUCAUCGUGACAGGGAUUGAUCAUUGCAAUUAUUGAUCAUGAACGAGGAAUUCCUAGUAAGCGUAAGUCAUAAGCUUGCGCUGAUUACGUCCCUGCCCUUUGUACACACCGCCCGUCGCUACGACCGACUGUUUCUGUCAAUGAAGCUGUAGGAUUUGGUCCUGGCCGGGCUUCACGGCCUGGCUGCGGCACUGGAGAUCACAGUUUAGUUGAUACGAAAUACAGGACGUAAAAGUCGUAACA
rnacentral:rRNA from 1 species